rnacentral:rRNA from 1 species
AAUAUUUCACAAUGGAGGGAACUCUGAUGCAGCAACGGCGCGUGAGUGAAGAAGGUUUUCGGAUCNUAAAACUCUGUCAUUGGGGANGAAUAAAUGACGGUACCCAAUGAGGAAGCCCCGGCUAACUACGUGCCAGCAGCCGCGGUAAUACGUAGGGGGCGAGCGUUGUCCGGAAUUACUGGGCGUAAAGGGUACGUAGGCUGCUAUAUAAGUCAGGUCUGGAAUACCAGUGCUUAACACUGGAAUUGCAUUUGAAACGGUGUAGCUUGAGUGCAGGAGAGGAAAGUGGAAUUCCUAGUGUAGCGGUGAAAUGCGUAGAGAUUAGGAGGAACACCAGUGGCGAAGGCGACUUUCUGGACUGUCACUGACGCUGAGGUACGAAAGCGUGGGUAGCGAACA